GAUGAACGCUGGCGGCGUGCUUAACACAUGCAAGUCGAACGGGAAGGCCCAAGCUUGCUUGGGUACUCGAGUGGCGAACGGGUGAGUAACACGUGGGUGAUCUGCCCUGCACUUCGGGAUAAGCCUGGGAAACUGGGUCUAAUACCGGAUAGGACCACAUUUUGGAUGGUGUGGUGGAAAGUUUUUCGGUGUGGGAUGAGCUCGCGGCCUAUCAGCUUGUUGGUGGGGUAAUGGCCUACCAAGGCGUCGACGGGUAGCCGGCCUGAGAGGGUGUACGGCCACAUUGGGACUGAGAUACGGCCCAGACUCCUACGGGAGGCAGCAGUGGGGAAUAUUGCACAAUGGGCGCAAGCCUGAUGCAGCGACGCCGCGUGGGGGAUGACGGCCUUCGGGUUGUAAACUCCUUUCGCUAGGGACGAAGCGUUAUGUGACGGUACCUGGAGAAGAAGCACCGGCUAACUACGUG
rnacentral:rRNA from 1 species